UACGUAGGGGGCGAGCGUUGUCCGGAAUUACUGGGCGUAAAGGGCGCCUAGGCGGUUUUUUAAGUCCGCUGUGAAAGACCGAGGCUCAACCUCGGGAUGUCAGCGGAGACUGGAAGACUGGAGUGUCGGAGAGGAGUGCGGAAUUCCUGGUGUAGCGGUGGAAUGCGUAGAUAUCAGGAGGAACACCGAUGGCGAAGGCAGCACUCUGGCCGAAGACUGACGCUGAAGCGCGAAAGCUGGGGGAGCGAACGGG
rnacentral:rRNA from 1 species